UGGGGAAUUUUGCACAAUGGGGGAAACCCUGAUGCAGCGACGCCGCGUGAUUUAGAAGGCCUUCGGGUUGUAAAAAUCUUUUUUACGGGAUGAAAAUGACAGUACCGUAAGAAUAAGGUCCGGCUAAAUACGUGCCAGCAGCCGCGGUAAUACGUAUGGACCGAGCGUUGUCCGGAAUCAUUGGGCGUAAAGGGUACGUAGGCGGCCUAGUAAGUUAGAAGUGAAAUAAUAUAGCCCAACUAUAUAAAGCUUUUAAAACUGCUAGGCUUGAGAGAUGGAAGGGAAAGUGGAAUUCCUAGUGUAGCGGUGAAAUGCGCAGAUAUUAGGAAGAAUACCGGUGGCGAAGGCGACUUUCUGGUCAUCAUCUGACGCUGAGGUACGAAAGCGUGGGUAGCAAACAGG
rnacentral:rRNA from 1 species